rnacentral:rRNA from 1 species
CUACGGGAGGCAGCAGUGGGGAAUAUUGGACAAUGGGCGCAAGCCUGAUCCAGCAAUGCCGCGUGUGUGAAGAAGGCCUGCGGGUUGUAAAGCACUUUAAGCAGGAAAGAAGGGCGGGGUGAUAAUACCACUUCGCAUUGACGUUACCUGCAGAAUAAGCACCGGCUAACUCCGUGCCAGCAGCCGCGGUAAUACGGAGGGUGCGAGCGUUAAUCGGGAUUACUGGGCGUAAAGCGCGCGUAGGCGGUUUGAUCAGUCCGUCGUGAAAGCCCCGGGCUUAACCUGGGAACUGCGGUGGAUACUGUCGGGCUAGAGUGUGGUAGAGGGGAGUGGAAUUUCCGGUGUAGCAGUGAAAUGCGUAGAGAUCGGAAGGAACACCAGUGGCGAAGGCGGCUCCCUGGACCAACACUGACGCUGAGGUGCGAAAGCGUGGGGAGCAAACAGGAUUAGAUACCCCUGUAGUCC